rnacentral:misc_RNA from 1 species
GUGAAUCAUCAAAUUUUUGAACGCAAAUUGCACUCUCUGGUAUUCCGGAGAGUAUUUCUGUUUGAGGGUCAGAAUAAAUAAAAAUCGGUGUGGUUGCUGCUUUUCGUGGUGACGCACUGGAUUUUGGUCGUCUUGCUUUCUUUUAAGUGACCUAAAAUUUUCCUUGAUUUUUUCGAACGUAUUUAAAUGUUUUUACGAACGUUUGCGAUAUCGAAUUCUUGGUGCGGU